GGAGAGAUGGCUCAGUGGUUAAGGGCACUCGACUGCUCCUAGAGGACCUGGGUUCAAAUCCCAGCAUCCACA
rnacentral:tRNA from 1 species